rnacentral:lncRNA from 1 species
AGGGCUCCUCUCCUCAACCUAGGAGGUUUAGAAACUCAUACUGAAAGUAAAAUAUAAUGGUGAACAUGAAAAUAUGGCUGAAUGUCUGCGUGCUGUUGUAAAAUACACUUUAAAUACUAAACAGAUGACUAGUAAGGGUAAAAUGGUCAAUUUAGUGCUAAAAUCCACUUCUGGGGCCCACUUUGUGAGUGUUUGGGGUGAGCUUUGAUGAGAUCCACGUGCUAUGAAGCUCCUAGGGCGUGAAACUCUGGCUAGGGGGUCCUCUCUGGGCCUUUGGACGCUAUGCUCUGCUCUUUGGGUGCUGGACGCCUGGAAGGAGGCAGAAAGCUGGCGUUAGACGCCAGUUUUGGGCCUUCUAAUCCCAAGAAAAGUAUGAGCUAUUAUAUAUUGCUGGAAAGCGCUGGAAGUCAGCUUUCCAUAGCCAUUGAGAGAGCUCCAUUUGGACUUAUGUAGCUCCAAAAAAGCUCUUUCGAAUGCACGUAGGUCAGAUCCAGACAGCAUCUGCAGUACUUUUUCCGUCUCUGAAUCAGACUUCUGCUCUAGCUCCUCAAUUUCAGCUAGAAAAUAUCUGAAAUUGUACAAAAAUACAAAAGCUCAAAGUAGAAUCCAAAAAUAUUAUUUUAACACUAAAAACUAUAAAAACUCAAUAAAAACUAAACAAAAACUAUUAAAAACUAUAUGAAAGUGAUGCCAAAAAGCGUAUAAAAUAUCCGCUCAUCACAACACCAAACUUAAACCGUUGCUUGUCCCCAAGCAACUAAAAACACAGUAGGAUAAAAAAAGAAAAUUAAGAUACAAUAAAUUUCUAAGUUUCAAAUGAAGCUUAGUUAAAAUCAGAUGAGCAGGACUUAGUAGCUUUUUGCUUCUGAAUAGUUUUGGCAUCUCACUAUCCCUUAAAAUCAGAUAUGUUGGUAUCCUUAGGAACUUAGAAUCCAGAUGAUAUUAUUGACUCUCUUAGUUAAUCUUAUUUUGAUUCUUGAACACAGCAAUCUGAGUCUUGGCCGUGACCCUAAGCACUCUGUUUCCAAGUGUAACACCCUAACUUUUAGCACUUCAUGAUCGUACCAAAAGUAAGGUGUUACGGACCUGACUUCCUUUAUUAUAAAUUUACUAUUGAGCCUUUACGUCGAUAUCGCGUUUCCGUUUUUAAGAAAAUUUCAGAAAAAAAUAGAUUUUAGUAUUAAAAUCACAUAACAAAAGAUCUUCAAAUAAUAACAAUCACAUAAUUACUAAUAAUAAUAGAGGUUAUACGAUUAAAUUCAAUGUAAAACUCGAAUACAAUACCUAUCCCUCUGGAUAAAAUAAAAACCCUAAAGCAACAAGGACGAGGGAACUCUAUAAAAACAACAGGAAUCACAAGUAAAUCUACGAAUCGUCUGCAGCUUCUUACUGAAUCUCCGAACCUGUGUCACUAAAAGGGUGGAAGAUUUGGGGUGAGAACAAACCACACAUUCUCAGUAGGGAAUGGGAAUGCCGUAAAAGUAAUGAAUUUAAUGCAAAUAAUUAACUUACUUAGUAAAACUAUUUUGUUAAACUUUUGAAAAUACUUUUAUUUCUACUUUAGAUAAAUAAUUACUUUUCUUUAGAUUUCUAAACUCAAAACAAAUUUUAAAUAUAAAACUGGUCACAUUUUCUGUCUCUCAGCCACAUAGUUAAUCCUCAGUCAAAUGUCAACUCGUAAUCACUUUAAUACACUCACAAACAAGUAGCGCAAGCAAGAGAUUCAAUUCAAUGUACAAGCAAGUCACAACAAGACAAACAAUACAAUCACAAAGUAGUAAGACAAGCAAGUGCAAUCAAAUGCAAAUGUGCAAACAACAUGAUGCAUGUCUAUCCCUAACGCAGGCCAUGAGCUCAUGUGUCGGUUGCCUACCCGCUCCCGACAUUACCCGGGCACAAGUCCCAGAUAUGGCUUUCCAGAUGCAUCAGUGUGCUUAUAAGUCGUACGGCUAGGCCGCAUCAGUGUGAAUUUCCAAAUCAAUAAGCGUACAUCUGGAAAACAGUUCUCAGUGUGUGGGCGUCCCCACUUUACAUUUGGCACUAAGGCCCAAACAAUGUCACAUCUGCUCUCCUGUGGCAGACACUUCAUUAAUUAAUAUAUUCUUUAAAUCCUUGUUCUCUGCUCUCCUGUGGCAGAGAUUCCUUUUCUUAAAAAAACCAAGCUCAAAACAACACUUAGAACAAAAUCUCUCCUUACAAAACUGGAUUUAAAACAUUAUGUUUUUCUUAAUAAAUCUAGUUUUAAAAAUAGAAUACACCUUUUUCUCAACUAAAUAAAUCUCAAAUAAUUUAAUUUUCCAAAACCAAAUCUUUUUAAAAUAACUUUUCAAAUAAAAUCUCAGAUUUUUAUAAAAUUUCGACAGCACUUCCCCUAAAACUCGGGGUUAGCCACCCUUUUUCGGGUCCCAACUGAACCAUUUUUAACCUCUUUUCAAUCAAGAAAUCAAAUACAUAUUCAUGAAAAUUCAGUCACAAACGCAACUCAAACUCAUCAUUCAGUCAUUUCAAACAAUCAUAAAUUAUUUACAAAUACCCACUAGACUUCCAUGGCAUUCAUAGUUUAAAAACAGUUAAUUUCAAAAUAAAAUUCCCUACCUCCGUAUGAAAUCAAAAUCCACAAAAGUUUUGGAGAAACUUUUGACCGAGCUGCUGAAAAGGAAAAUGUCAGAAAUCAUCUGUGAUUGAAGCCGAAAGAUCAAAGGGAGUCAUGGUUUCUCCCUCACCCACGGUCUCUCUCUCGGCCUUUCUUUCUUUUCUUGCUUGGGUUAGAAUGAAAUGAAAUUAACUAAAAGCUAAAUGGCAAGGAAUAUUGGUUUGUGGCGGUAAGUAUUAGCAGGUGUCAAUGAUACAUGUAUAUGUAUAUAUGUCCACAAGACACGUUUUCUUUACUUUCUUUUCUUUUGCGUUAAGGCUUCGGCCCUUUCUUUUUUUUUUUUUAACAAUAUUAAUAAUAAUAAUAAUAAUAAUAAUAAUAGCAAAUGUGAAAGAAACCAUAUCUGAUGAAAGAAGUUUGAAACAAAAAGUCUGACGGCAAACAACCAAGGAAGAGAUUCACAUUAGCACGAAUAAGGAUUAUGCGUUGAAACGGAGCUAACCCCUAAACUUAACUUCUAACGUUCCCAAACCCCGUAAUUUACGUUAGUUAUUACUUCUAUUGCAUCUAUGAUAACCCGUUAGUACUCUCAUAUACAUAAAUCAUUAGUAUUAAAUUGGCCAGACUUAUUACCAUGAGGUAUGCAAUGGUAAGCUAACAGCAUUAAUCAACAGACAGUCAUGCAUCUCAAAACUCAAACUCUUAUUAUUAGGACAAGUCCUAUUGCAUGACAGACACUCAGAGUAUGGAGUGAAGCAUAAUCAGUCCAUUCCCAAGGCUCUAAUAGAAACGAACUGCUCUGAUACCAUAAUGUAACACCCUAACUUUUAGCACGUCACGAUCGUACGAAAAGUAAGGCGUUACGGACCUGACUUCCUUUAUUAUAAAUUUACUAUUGAGCCUUUACGUCGAUAUCGCGUUUCCGUUUUUAAAAAAAUUUCAGAAAAAAAUAGAUUUUAGUAUUAAAAUCACAUAACAAAAAGAUCUUCAAAUAAUAACAAUCACAUAAUUACUAAUAAUAAUAGAGGUUAUACGAUUAAAUUCAAUGUAAAACUCGAAUACAAUACCUAUCCCUCUGGAUAAAAUAAAAACCCUAAAGCAACAAGGACGAGGUCGCUCCUGACAUUACCCGGGCACAAGUCCCAGAUAUGGCUUUCCAGAUGCAUCAGUGUGCUUAUAAGUCGUACAGCUAGGCCGCAUCAGUGUGACUUUCCAAAUCAAUAAGCGUACAUCUGGAAAACAGUUCUCAGUGUGUGGGCGUCCCCACUUUACAUUUGGCACUAAGGCCCAAACAAUGUCACAUCUGCUCUCCUGUGGCAGACACUUCAUUAAUUAAUAUAUUCUUUAAAUCCUUGUUCUCUGCUCUCCUGUGGCAGAGAUUCCUUUUCUUAAAAAAAUCAAGCUCAAAACAAUACUUAGAACAAAAUCUCUCCUUACAAAACUGGAUUUAAAACAUUAUGUUUUUCUUAAUAAAUCUAGUUUUAAAAAUAGAAUACACCUUUUUCUCAACUAAAUAAAGCUCAAAUAAUUUAAUUUUUCAAAACCAAAUCUUUUUAAAAUAACUUUUCAAAUAAAACCUCAGAUUUUUAUAAAAUUUCGACAGCACUUCCCCUAAAACUCGGGGUUAGCCACCCUUUUUCAGGUCCCAACUGAACCAUUUUCAACCUCUUUUCAAUCAAGAAAUCAAAUACAUAUUCAUCAAAAUUCAGUCACAAACACAACUCAAACUCAUCAUUCAGUCAUUUCAAACAAUCAUAAAUUAUUUACAAAUACCCACUAGACUUCCAUGGCAUUCAUAGUUUAAAAACAGUUAAGUUCAAAAUAAAAUUCCCUACCUCCGUACGAAAUCAAAAUCCACAAAAGUUUUGGAGAAACUUUUGACCGAGCUGCUGAAAAAGAAAAUGUCAGAAAUCAUUUGUGUCUCCUAGAACUCCAGUUGGCCGAAUUCAAAGGAAAGAGGAGCUACGUCACCGUCAACUUCUACCGAAUAAAAAUAACGCCAACAUGUAGAAGAGGAGGAUACGAACACUUUUACCGAAUUAGAUUUUUUAUUAGAGUUACGGAUCUCAAGAAAUUGAAGCCGAAAGAUCAAAGGGAGUCAUGGUUUCUCCCUCACCCACGAUCUCUCUCUCGGCCUUUCUUUCUU